AACGAACGCUGGCGGCAGGCUUAACACAUGCAAGUCGAACGCCCCGCAAGGGGAGUGGCAGACGGGUGAGUAACACGUGGGAACGUGCCCUAAGGUUUGGAAUAUUCCCGGGAAACUGGGAGCAAUACCAAAUGUGUCCGUAAGGAGAAAGAUUUAUCGCCUUAGGAUCGGCCCGCGUCAGAUUAGGUAGUUGGUGGGGUAAAAGCCUACCAAGCCGACGAUCUGUAGCUGGUCUGAGAGGACGACCAGCCACACUGGGACUGAGACACGGCCCAGACUCCUACGGGAGGCAGCAGUGGGGAAUCUUGGACAAUGGGCGCAAGCCUGAUCCAGCCAUGCCGCGUGGAUGAUGAAGGCCCUAGGGUUGUAAAAUCCUUUCGUUGGGGACGAUAAUGACGGUACCCAAAGAAGAAGCUCCGGCUAACUUCGUGCCAGCAGCCGCCGUAACAC
rnacentral:rRNA from 1 species